CGAGUGGCGGACGGGUGAGUAAUGUCUGGGAAACUGCCCGAGGGAGGGGGAUAACUACUGGAAACGGUAGCUAAUACCGCAUAACGUCGCAAGACCAAAGAGGGGACCUUCGGGCCUCUUGCCAUCGGAUGUGCCCAGAUGGGAUUAGCUAGUAGGUGGGGUAACGGCUCACCUAGGCGACGAUCCCUAGCUGGUCUGAGAGGAUGACCAGCCACACUGGAACUGAGACAGGUCCAG
rnacentral:rRNA from 1 species